UUGUGCUCAGUCAUGUACCCCUUAUUGUCUCCCCAGUGGUGAAAUACAGCCCCUGCCUGUAUCACAUCUCCCCUGGACCCACAUAGCAGUGGACUUCAUCACAGACCUGCCUGCUUCGCAAGGGUACAAUGUCAUAAUGAACGUAUCAGCUCUGAAGUACAGCAUUCUUGUAAUGAGGAGGUUGGUGAAGAGCUUCUCUCAGCAAAUUCUGUCAAUGAAGAAAAGACAGUAUUAUGAUGCCAUCACCUGUAGUGGUCUGAUAUGUAAGUUUGUUUAAUUCAUCACUUCACUAAAAUUAAAGAGAUGAUGACUUAAACUAGCUCAUUUUAUUUGAUUUAGGUGACAUAGAGACAGAAAACACACCAGAAAAUUCUGAUGAUAUCAAUCGUGGCCAGGCUCCUGAUAGUGUAGCAAGUAUGGUGGUAGAGGUGAGAACACAGUGGCAGUUUAGGUGUAGACCAUUCUAAAUGUUUUCUCUUUACUUGCACAUUCCAACUGCACUGCUUAGCAUUAAUAAAAGAUGGGCUGGCCUCUAUUUAGCAUCUGACACAUGAUGUAUUACAGCAUAGUGAUAAUUUGUGCUGUGAGAAUACUGACCAAUCUAAAACAUUAUAGACAUGUGCUCAGUGUGCUUUGAAGAAUCA